UAAUUCCAGGGGCGAAAGUUCAGGCUUUCCAUGCUUGCAUGGAAAAAGCCUGAACUUUAUGCCACGCCCAGACAUGAGGAGGAGGCGAUUUUCAAGAAAAAUCAGCCGAGUCCUCAUGUCUGUAGAAUUGAGAGAGCUGCGAAGCAGCGGAGCAAUUCGUGAAUUA
rnacentral:sRNA from 1 species